rnacentral:misc_RNA from 1 species
CGUCGAACGCCAGCCGCUUUCCUCGUCCAACGGACGCGGAUCGUCGGCAUGACGGGCGUUACGCAGGUUGAUGACGCCAUGCCGCGUGAAGACGUGGCCGUGGCGGCCGUUACGCGUCGGCAUCACGCGCAGUCGAACAUGUCUAUGCCCCGCGCGACCGCCUCCAGCAUAUCGUCCGGUGUCCCUACGCCCAUCAGGUAGCGCGGGCGCUCCUGUGGCAG